rnacentral:rRNA from 1 species
UACGUAGGGGGCGAGCGUUGUCCGAAGUUACUGGGCGUAAAGCGCGUGUAGGCGGGUCUUUUAAGUGAGGGGUGAAAGGUUUGGGCUUAACCCAGACACUGCCUUUCAUACUGGAGACCUUGAGUGCGGGAGAGACGAGUGGAAUGGUCGGUGUAGCGGUGAAAUGCGUAGAUAUCGAUCGGAACACCCAUGGCGAAGGCAGCUCGCUGGCCUGUAACUGACGCUGAGACGCGAAAGCGUGGGGAGCAAACAGG